UACGUAGGGUGCGAGCGUUGUCCGGAAUUAUUGGGCGUAAAGAGCUCGUAGGCGGUUUGUCGCGUCUGCUGUGAAAAUCCAGGGCUUAACCCUGGACCUGCAGUGGGUACGGGCAGACUAGAGUGCGGUAGGGGAGAUCGGAAUUCCUGGUGUAGCGGUGAAAUGCGCAGAUAUCAGGAGGAACACCGGUGGCGAAGGCGGAUCUCUGGGCCGUAACUGACGCUGAGGAGCGAAAGCGUGGGGAGCAAACAGG
rnacentral:rRNA from 1 species